rnacentral:lncRNA from 1 species
UUUGGUUCGGGUAUAAGUAAAAAUUAUUUUAUUUCAGAGAUAAAUACAAGUUUAAGUAUAAGUGAGAAAUAGAGAAAUUUUACGUUUGGAUGAAAAUUAGGUUGUUCCUAGAAAUAAAAAAAAAUAGCGUUUGGAUAAAUAAUAUAGAAUAAGAAGAAUAAUGUAUAGUUAUAAAUUAAAAAUAAUGAUAUUACUCCUCUCAUUAUAUUUAAAAUUUUAAAUUUUAAAUUUUACAUUUAUAAUUUGAAAUUUAAAUUUUUUACUUUUAAAUUUAAAAUUUUGAAUUUAAAAUUUAAGUUUAAAAUUUAAAUUUCAAAUUUUUAAUUUUAAAUUUAAAAUCAAAUUUAAAAUUGAAAGAUAUAAAAUAUCAAAUUUAAAAUUUUAAAUAUUAAAAUAUCAAAAUUAAAAUUUAAACUUUAUAAUUUAUAAUUUUAAAAUUUUAAAUUUUAAUUUUAAAACUAUAAAUUUAAAUUUUAAAAAAUUAAAUUCUAAUUUAAAACAUAUUUUCCUCUCUCUCUCUAUCAAGGGAACAAGGGGUAAGAACAAGCUAGUUGUUAGGAUUUGGUUAGAUUUGUAGUUGAAUCAUAGUUGGAUAAGAAUUAAUAUUUAAAUCUGUUAGAGAUAAAUUAAGAUUUAAAUAUUAAUUAGAGUAUGAUUUAAUUAGAUUAGGAUAAAUAUUUAAAUCUAUUGGAGAUAGAUCAAUUAAGAUUUAAAUAUUUAUUGGAGUAGAAAUCCUAAAUAUAUUAGGAUUGGGUUACGUUUUGGUGGAGCUUUAUAAAUAGCUCUUGAUGAGUUUGUUUUUUGAGGUGAGUACGGUUGAGAGCCCAGAGGUGCCGUACCAGAAAGAGAAAAAGAGAGAGUUAUUGAGUAUACCUAGUGCACGGGUGCGCGUGGAUGAUUAUCUUCUUUAUGGGUUUAUAGAAGACGAGAGAAGGGUAGAAGAGAUUCAAGAAAGAGGGCUCGAGUUGUAGCUACCCUGUACAGAAGAGGAGUCAGGUGUAAUCUUCUCUUAUUUAAUGAAUCUUAUUUUGGUAUCAAGAUCCGGUACCGAGGUGAGUAUCGGAUUCCCAACAAUUGGUAUCAGAGUUGAAGGUUAUCAAUCCGAGGGAGAGAUCGACGAAGUUGGCCACAAAAUUCGAAAUCGAGAAGUUCGACGACAAGAACAAUUUCGGAUUGUGGCAAAUUAAAGUACGAGCAAUCCUCGUACAGCAAGAAUUGUACGAGACGUUGAACGGGAAUGAGGCGAAGCCGACGGACGUCACGGACGCGGCAUGGAUGAAGAUGGAGCGAAAGGCGUUGAGUACGCUUUAUCUAUCAUUAGCAGAUGAGGUUCUUUACAACGUAGCCAGCGAGACGACACCGGCGAAGUUGUGGAAGAAAUUAUAAGAUCUGUACAUGACCAAAUCCUUGACGAACUGAUUGUAUCUGAAGCAGCGACUGUUUACGCUGCGGAUGCAGGAACCGGCGAGCCUACAUGAGCAUCUAAACGAGUUCAACAAGGUGGUGGCCCAGUUGACCAGCAUCGGAGUCAAUCUGGAUGACGAAGACAAGGCGUUGAUUCUACUAUCUUUGCUACCGACGACAUAUGAGCAUCUGGUGACCACGUUGCUUUAUGGCAAGGAGUCCAUAAGCGUGAAGGCGGUCACGGCGGCGCUUCUCUCGAACGAGAUGCGGAAGAUGACUCAGGAGUCUGGCACGCAAAGUCGGGAUGUAGGACUGGUGUGAGCGCAAAAAAGGAGGCGAAAAUAUCCGCGACCGGAUAUCGACAAAAGAAACAGCUAUCUGAGGUAGAGUGCUUUUACUGUCACAGGAAAGGGCAUAUCAAGCGCAAUUGUCGAAAACUUCAGGAUCAUCUGAAAGAGUUAAAGCGACAGAAGGAGCAAACUGUCGUGAACCAGGAUGAGACGGUAUCAGCGACGGCGCAGGCAGCAAAGUCGGAGAUGAUCGAUUCUAAUGUGCUGUAUGCAGCGACCGGAGAUGCUAAAAUUUCGGAUGAUGCGUGGGUGCUCGUUCGGCGUGUUCCUUUCACGUAUGCCCGGAGAAGGAGUCUUUUGCCACCUAUAAGGCGAUCAAAAGUGGAAAGGCUCUAAUGGGGAACGGGACGGCGUGCAAAGUUUUGGGAGUCGGCACGGUAAAGAUCCGAAUGCACGAUGGGGUCGUGAGGACGUUGAUAGGUGUGCGGCACGUUCUUGGAUUAAAGUAGAAUUUGAUCUCGUUAGGCGCGUUGGACUCGAAGGGUUGCAAUAUUUCGACUUCAGGUGGAGCUAUGAGGGUCCGAAAGCGAGAUCAGAUCGUGUGCGAGGUGAACAAGCGUGGGAACUUAUACGUUCUGAACGGGAGCACGGUCAGAACGAAAGCGAGAUCGGGUCGUGUGCGAGGCGAACAAACGUGGGAACUUGUACGUUCUGAACGGGAGCACAGACAGAAACGGGAGCGAAGACGGUUUGGGUUCCGAAAGUUCGCGGAGGUGCAGUGGUUCGAGACGGAGCGACGAAUGCGGCGACAUCGAGCGAAUGAGACAAACUCAAGGUGAAGCUUGCAUAGUGAGCUCGACGUAGCAGUUGAAAAUUACAAAUCCAACCAAGGUGGAGAUUGUUAGGAUUUGGUUAGAUUUGUAGUUGAAUCAUAGUUGGAUAAGAAUUAAUAUUUAAAUCUGUUAGAGAUAAAUUAAGAUUUAAAUAUUAAUUAGAGUAUAAAUCUAAUUAGAUUAGGAUAAAUAUUUAAAUCUAUUGGAGAUAGAUCAAUUAAGAUUUAAAUAUUUAUUGAAGUAGAAAUCCUAAAUAUAUUAGGAUUGGGGUACGUUUUUGUGGAGCUUUAUAAAUAGCUCUUGAUGAGUUUGUUUUUUAAGGUGAGUACGGUUGAGAGCCUGGAGGUGCCGUACCAGAGAGAGAAAAAGAGAGAGUUAUUGAGUACACCUAGUGCACGGGUGCGCGUGGAUGAUUAUCUUCUUUAUGGGUUUAUAGAAGACGAGAGAAGGAUAGAAGAGAUUCAAGAAAGAGGACUCGGGUUGUAGCUACUCUGUACAGAAGAGGAGUCAGGUGUAAUCUUCUCUUAUUUAAUGAAUCUUAUUUUAUCUGCAUAUUUUUCUCUUUUAUAAUUGUAUCAGCUUUUGCUGAGGAGACAGGUUUAUGGUAAAAAUUCGAUUUGACGCUUCCGUUGCGGAAUCCCAACAAUCGGUACUGGAUCCACAGCAGUCAGUAUCGGAGCAGGUUGCGGAUUCACAAGAUCCGGUACCGGGGCGAGUACCGGAUUCCCAACACUUGCUCCCACCCACCCCAUACAGGGUUAUAC